rnacentral:rRNA from 1 species
AGUGGCGGACGGGUGAGUAACGCGUGAGAAUCUGCCUUGGGGUCGGGGACAACCACUGGAAACGGUGGCUAAUACCGGAUAAGCCGAUUGGUGAAAGAUUUAUUGCCCGAAGAGGAGCUCGCGUCUGAUUAGCUAGUUGGUGAGGUAAGAGCUCACCAAGGCAGCGAUCAGUAGCUGGUCUGAGAGGACGAUCAGCCACACUGGGACUGAGACACGGCCCAGACUCCUACGGGAGGCAGCUGGGGAAUUUUCCGCAAUGGGCGAAAGCCUGACGGAGCAAGACCGCGUGAGGGAGGAAGGCUCUUGGGUUGUAAACCUCUUUUCUCAGGGAAGAAGCUCUGACGGUACCUGAGGAAUCAGCCUCGGCUAACUCCGUGCCAGCAGCCGCGGUAAUACGGAGGAGGCAAGCGUUAUCCGGAAUUAUUGGGCGUAAAGCGUCCGCAGGUGGCGAUUCAAGUCUGCUGUCAAAGCACGGGGCUUAACUCCGUAAAGGCAGUGGAAACUGAAUAGCUAGAGUGCCGUAGGGGUAGAGGGAAUUCCCGGUGUAGCGGUGAAAUGCGUAGAGAUCGGGAAGAACAUCGGUGGCGAAAGCGCUCUACUGGACGGCAACUGACACUCAGGGACGAAAGCUAGGGGAGCGAAUGGGAUUAGAUACCCC